rnacentral:piRNA from 1 species
UGCCAUCAAUAUAGCAUAAUUUUAGUAGU